AUUGAACGCUGGCGGCAGGCCUAACACAUGCAAGUCGAGCGGAUGAAGGGAGCUUGCUCCUGGAUUCAGCGGCGGACGGGUGAGUAAUGCCUAGGAAUCUGCCUGGUAGUGGGGGAUAACGUCCGGAAACGGGCGCUAAUACCGCAUACGUCCUGAGGGAGAAAGUGGGGGAUCUUCGGACCUCACGCUAUCAGAUGAGCCUAGGUCGGAUUAGCUAGUUGGUGGGGUAAAGGCCUACCAAGGCGACGAUCCGUAACUGGUCUGAGAGGAUGAUCAGUCACACUGGAACUGAGACACGGUCCAGACUCCUACGGGAGGCAGCAGUGGGGAAUAUUGGACAAUGGGCGAAAGCCUGAUCCAGCCAUGCCGCCUGUGUGAAGAAGGUCUUCGGAUUGUAAAGCACUUUAAGUUGGGAGAAAGGGCAGUAAGUUAAUACCUUGCUGUUUUGACGGUACCAACAGAAUAAGCACCGGCUAACUUCGUG
rnacentral:rRNA from 1 species